UGGGGAAUAUUGCACAAUGGGCGCAAGCCUGAUGCAGCCAUGCCGCGUGUGUGAAGAAGGCCUUCGGGUUGUAAAGCACUUUCAGCGGGGAGGAAGGCGAUAAGGUUAAUAACCUCAUCGAUUGACGUUACCCGCAGAAGAAGCACCGGCUAACUCCGUGCCAGCAGCCGCGGUAAUACGGAGGGUGCAAGCAUUAAUCGGAAUUACUUGGCGUAAAGCGCACGCAGGCGGUUUGUUAAGUCAGAUGUGAAAUCCCCGGGCUCAACCUGGGAACUGCAUCUGAUACUGUCAAGCUUGAGUCUCGUAGAGGGGUGUAGAAUUCCAGGUGUAGCGGUGAAAUGCGUAGAGAUCUGGAGGAAUACCGGUGGCGAAGGCGGCCCCCUGGACAAAGACUGACGCUCAGGUGCGAAAGCGUGGGGAGCAAACAGG
rnacentral:rRNA from 1 species